rnacentral:tRNA from 44 species
GCCGAUGUGGCUCAGUGGUAGAGCACCCGAUUCGUAAUCGGGCGGUCGCGGGUUCAAAUCCCGCCAUCGGCU